rnacentral:rRNA from 1 species
UACAGAGGGUGCAAGCGUUAAUCGGAAUUACUGGGCGUAAAGCGUGCGUAGACGGUUAUUUAAGUCAGGUGUGAAAGCCCCGGGCUCAACCUGGGAAUUGCAUUUGAGACUGAAUAGCUAGGGUGCGGAAGAGGGAAGCGGAGUUUCCGGUGUAGCGGUGAAAUGCGUAGAUAUCGGAAGGAACACCAGUGGCGAAAGCGGCUUCCUGGUCCAGCACCGACGUUCAGGCACGAAAGCGUGGGGAGCAAACAGG